GGACUACAGGGGUAUCUAAUCCUGUUUGCUCCCCACGCUUUCGCACCUCAGCGUCAGUUGCGGACCAGUGAGCCGCCUUCGCCACUGGUGUUCUUCCCAAUCUCUACGAAUUUCACCUCUACACUGGGAAUUCCACUCACCUCUUCCGAACUCAAGCACAGCAGUUUUGAAGGCAAUUCCGAGGUUGAGCCUCGGGAUUUCACCCCCAACUUGCUGCGCCGCCUACGUGCGCUUUACGCCCAGUAAUUCCGAACAACGCUAGCCCCCUUCGUAUUACCGCGGCUGCUGGCAC
rnacentral:rRNA from 1 species